AGAGUUUGAUCCUGGCUCAGGAUGAACGCUGGCGGCGUGCCUAACACAUGCAAGUUGAGCGAUUUACUUCGGUAAAGAGCGGCGGACGGGUGAGUAACGCGUGGGUAACCUACCCUGUACACACGGAUAACAUACCGAAAGGUAUGCUAAUACGGGAUAAUAUAUUUGAGAGGCAUCUCUUAAAUAUCAAAGGUGAGCCAGUACAGGAUGGACCCGCGUCUGAUUAGCUAGUUGGUAAGGUAACGGCUUACCAAGGCGACGAUCAGUAGCCGACCUGAGAGGGUGAUCGGCCACAUUGGAACUGAGACACGGUCCAAACUCCUACGGGAGGCAGCAGUGGGGAAUAUUGCACAAUGGGCGAAAGCCUGAUGCAGCAACGCCGCGUGAGUGAUGAAGGCCUUCGGGUCGUAAAACUCUGUCCUCAAGGAAGAUAAUGACGGUACUUGAGGAGGAAGCCCCGGCUAACUACGUGCCAGCAGCCGCGGUAAUACGUAGGGGGCUAGCGUUAUCCGGAUUUACUGGGCGUAAAGGGUGCGUAGGCGGUCUUUCAAGUCAGGAGUGAAAGGCUACGGCUCAACCGUAGUAAGCUCUUGAAACUGGGAGACUUGAGUGCAGGAGAGGAGAGUGGAAUUCCUAGUGUAGCGGUGAAAUGCGUAGAUAUUAGGAGGAACACCAGUUGCGAAGGCGGCUCUCUGGACUGUAACUGACGCUGAGGCACGAAAGCGUGGGGAGCAAACAGGAUUAGAUACCCUGGUAGUCCACGCUGUAAACGAUGAGUACUAGGUGUCGGGGGUUACCCCCUUCGGUGCCGCAGCU
rnacentral:rRNA from 1 species